rfam:Gossypium hirsutum cultivar TM-1 unplaced genomic scaffold scaffold1140.1, whole genome shotgun sequence
UGUUAAAAAUUUCAUCUAUUUAUACUGUUAAAAAUUGGCGUGAUUAACGAAAUAAUCAAACAAUUUACACGUGGUGUGCUAUUUGUACAUUAUGUUGAUGUACAUGGACAAGUUUUUAACAGUAAAAUGAAUGAAAUUUUAACA